UGGGGAAUAUUGCACAAUGGGGGAAACCCUGAUGCAGCGACGCCGCGUGAGCGAAGAAGGUUUUCGAAUCGUAAAGCUCUGUCCUAUGAGAAGAUAAUGACGGUAUCAUAGGAGGAAGCCCCGGCUAAAUACGUGCCAGCAGCCGCGGUAAUACGUAUGGGGCGAGCGUUGUCCGGAAUUAUUGGGCGUAAAGGGUACGUAGGCGGUCUAUUAAGUCAGGUGUGAAAGCGUGAGGCUUAACCUCAUUAAGCACUUGAAACUGAUAGACUUGAGUGAAGGAGAGGAAAGUGGAAUUCCUAGUGUAGCGGUGAAAUGCGUAGAUAUUAGGAGGAAUACCGGUGGCGAAGGCGACUUUCUGGACUGUUACUGACGCUCAGGUACGAAAGCGUGGGUAGCAAACAGG
rnacentral:rRNA from 1 species